rnacentral:tRNA from 1 species
AGAAAAAUAAGCUAAAUUAAAGCUACUAGGUUCAUACCCUAAUUAUGGGAAUAAAUCCCUUUUUCUA